GUCCAGGGAUGGGAAUCGAACCCACAGUGUUCCGCUUACCGGGCAGAUGCCAUGUCCUCUAGAAUACCCUGGA